rnacentral:rRNA from 1 species
GAGUUUGAUCCUGGCUCAGGACGAACGCUGGCGGCGUGCCUAAUACAUGCAAGUCGAGCGGAAUGAAGAAGAAGCUUGCUUCUUCUGAUUUUAGCGGCGGACGGGUGAGUAACACGUGGGCAACCUACCUUGUAGAUUGGGAUAACUCCGGGAAACCGGGGCUAAUACCGAAUAAUCCAUUUUGCUUCAUGGCGAAAUGUUAAAAGGCGGCUUCGGCUGUCACUGCAAGAUGGGCCCGCGGCGCAUUAGCUAGUUGGUAAGGUAACGGCUUACCAAGGCGACGAUGCGUAGCCGACCUGAGAGGGUGAUCGGCCACACUGGGACUGAGACACGGCCCAGACUCCUACGGGAGGCAGCAGUAGGGAAUCUUCCACAAUGGACGAAAGUCUGAUGGAGCAACGCCGCGUGAGUGAAGAAGGUUUUCGGAUCGUAAAACUCUGUUGUAAGGGAAGAACACGUACGAGAGUAACUGCUCGUACCUUGACGGUACCUUAUUAGAAAGCCACGGCUAACUACGUGCCAGCAGCCGCGGUAAUACGUAGGUGGCAAGCGUUGUCCGGAAUUAUUGGGCGUAAAGCGCGCGCAGGCGGUCCUUUAAGUCUGAUGUGAAAGCCCACGGCUCAACCGUGGAGGGUCAUUGGAAACUGGGGGACUUGAGUGCAGAAGAGAAGAGUGGAAUUCCACGUGUAGCGGUGAAAUGCGUAGAGAUGUGGAGGAACACCAGUGGCGAAGGCGACUCUUUGGUCUGUAACUGACGCUGAGGCGCGAAAGCGUGGGGAGCAAACAGGAUUAGAUACCCU